AAACCAACAGGGAUUGCCCUAGUAACGGCGAGUGAAGCGGCAUCAGCUCAAAUUUGAAAUCUGGCUCUUUCAGAGUCCGAGUUGUAAUUUGCAGAGGGCGCUUUGGUGUCGGCAGCGGUCCAAGUUCCUUGGAACAGGACGUCACAGAGGGUGAGAAUCCCGUACGUGGUCGCUGACCUACACCGUGUAAAGCCCCUUCGACGAGUCGAGUUGUUUGGGAAUGCAGCUCUAAAUGGGAGGUAAAUUUCUUCUAAAGCUAAAUACUGGCCAGAGACCGAUAGCGCACAAGUAGAGUGAUCGAAAGAUGAAAAGCACUUUGGAAAGAGAGUCAAACAGCACGUGAAAUUGUUGAAAGGGAAGCGCUUGCAGCCAGACUUGCUUGUAGUUGCUCAUCCGGGCUUUUGCCCGGUGCACUCUUCUGCGAGCAGGCCAGCAUCAGUUUGGACGGUUGGAUAAAGGCCUCUGUCACGUACCUUCUCUCGGGAAGGCCUUAUAGGGGAGGCGUCAUGCAACCAGUCUGGACUGAGGUCCGCGCAUCUGCUAGGAUGCUGGCGUAAUGGCUGUAAGCGGC
rnacentral:rRNA from 1 species